AUUGAACGCUGGCGGCAUGCCUUACACAUGCAAGUCGAACGGCAGCACGGGUGCUUGCACCUGGUGGCGAGUGGCGAACGGGUGAGUAAUACAUCGGAACGUACCUUAUCGUGGGGGAUAACGCAGCGAAAGCUGUGCUAAUACCGCAUACGCCCUGAGGGGGAAAGCGGGGGAUCGCAAGACCUCGCGCGAUUAGAGCGGCCGAUGCCUGAUUAGCUUGUUGGUGGGGUAAAAGCCCACCAAGGCGACGAUCAGUAGCUGGUCUGAGAGGACAAUCAGCCACACUGGGACUGAGACACGGCCCAGACUCCUACGGGAGGCAGCAGUGGGGAAUUUUGGACAAUGGGGGAAACCCUGAUCCAGCAAUGCCGCGUGAGUGAAGAAGGCCUUCGGGUUGUAAAGCUCUUUUGUCAGGGAAGAAACACCGGCUCUAACACAGUCCGGGAAUGACGGUACCUGAAGAAUAAGCACCGGCUAACUACGUGCCAGCAGCCGCCGUAA
rnacentral:rRNA from 1 species